rnacentral:rRNA from 1 species
AUGGAUUUGAUUUAACUUAGUGGCGGACGGGUGAGUAACGCGUGAGCAACCUGCCUUUCAGAGGGGGACAACAGUUGGAAACGACUGCUAAUACCGCAUGAUACAGCGAGGAGGCAUCUCUUUGCUGUCAAAGAUUUAUCGCUGAAAGAUGGGCUCGCGUAUGAUUAGAUAGUUGGUGAGGUAACGGCUCACCAAGUCGACGAUCAUUAGCCGGACUGAGAGGUUGAACGGCCACAUUGGGACUGAGACACGGCCCAGACUCC